rnacentral:rRNA from 1 species
GACGAACGCUUGCGGCGUGCCUAAGAAAUGCAAGUCGAGCGAGCCUAUCCCUUCGGGGAGAAAGCUAGCGGCGAACGGUCGAGUAACACGUGAGCAACCUGCCCUGAUGAGGGGGAUAGCCCACCGAAAGGUGGAUUAAUACCGCAUGUGAUCUUGUUUCGGCAUCGGGAUAAGAUUAAAGCAGCAAUGCGCAUCAGGAUGGGCUCGCGGCCUAUCAGCUUGUUGGUGGGUAAUGGCCUACCAAGGCAUCAACGGGUAGCUGGUCUGAGAGGAUGGUCAGCCGGAUUGGGACUGAGACACGGCCCAGACUCCUACGGGAGGCAG